rnacentral:guide_RNA from 1 species
AUAUAAACAAUGAAUUCACUGUGAAGAUACGAUAGAUGAUAUAUAU